rnacentral:rRNA from 1 species
GUGGCGAACGGGUGAGUAACACGUGAGUAACCUGCCCUUGACUCUGGGAUAAGCACUGGAAACGGUGUCUAAUACCGGAUACGAACUUCCACCGCAUGGUGAGGAGUUGGAAAGAAUUUUGGUCAAGGAUGGACUCGCGGCCUAUCAGCUAGUUGGUGAGGUAAUGGCUCACCAAGGCGACGACGGGUAGCCGGCCUGAGAGGGUGACCGGCCACACUGGGACUGAGACACGGCCCAGACUCCUACGGGAGGCAGCAGUGGGGAAUAUUGCACAAUGGGCGCAAGCCUGAUGCAGCAACGCCGCGUGAGGGACGAAGGCCUUCGGGUUGUAAACCUCUUUUAGUAGGGAAGAAGCGUAAAAGUGACGGUACCUGCAGAAAAAGCACCGGCUAACUACGUGCCAGCAGCCGCGGUAAUACGUAGGGUGCAAGCGUUAUCCGGAAUUAUUGGGCGUAAAGAGCUCGUAGGCGGUUUGUCGCGUCUGCUGUGAAAUCUGGGGGCUCAACCCCCAGCCUGCAGUGGGUACGGGCAGACUAGAGUGCGGUAGGGGAGAUUGGAAUUCCUGGUGUAGCGGUGGAAUGCGCAGAUAUCAGGAGGAACACCAAUGGCGAAGGCAGAUCUCUGGGCCGUAACUGACGCUGAGGAGCGAAAGC